GGUUAUGGCUCAGUGGUAGAGCACUUACCUAAGAUGGGUGAGGCCCUGGGUUUGAUCCUCAGCACCA
rnacentral:tRNA from 1 species